UGAAAACUAUAUUCGGAGUAAACAAGUAGCUGAACAAAUACGCAGUGUAUAGACUCAACGUAAACCACAGUCAGGAACACUUAAUUGAAUUCCUUUUGAGCCAAUGACUAACAAAUAGGAAUAAGCAGUUGUACGCAUGUUGUCUUUGCCAACUUCUCAUUUAAUUAGAAGAUUAUGAUACGUAUAUAAAGGGCAACUCAGAUCAAAGGUGAUCCUUGUGAUUUGCUAAAUGGUUGGGAGUGAGGCAGGAAACGCAUGAGAAGGAGUGGCAGAGAAUGAGAAGUGACCUGAAUGAGGUGUAUAAGAUGAUGAUAUCCAUUGAUCAUGUGGACAGUCAGAAGCUUUUUCCCGGGACUGAAAUGACUAGCAUGAGGGCACAGUUUUAAGGUGCUUGAAAGUAGGACAGAGGCAGUGUCUGGGGAGUUGGCUUUGCAAUGGGAAAUCAAGUCCCAAAUGAACGCAAGUUCUGGCAACAAAAAAAUUGAACAUUGAGUGGGAUAGAGAUGACGUCAAAAAUAUGAAUCUGCUGAAUUCAUCUCAAAUCAACAGAUUGAUUCAGAGUAAUAAAAUCACCAGAGUCUGAACAGGUGGAUCAAACUGAAUAGGAGUAUUA